rnacentral:rRNA from 1 species
ACGGGUGCGUAACGCGUGGGAAUCUGCCCUUGGGUUCGGAAUAACAGUUAGAAAUGACUGCUAAUACCGGAUGACGUCUUCGGACCAAAGAUUUAUCGCCCAAGGAUGAGCCCGCGUAAGAUUAGCUAGUUGGUGGGGUAAUGGCCCACCAAGGCGACGAUCUUUAGCUGGUCUGAGAGGAUGAUCAGCCACACUGGGACUGAGACACGGCCCAGACUCCUACGGGAGGCAGCAGUGGGGAAUAUUGGACAAUGGGCGAAAGCCUGAUCCAGCAAUGCCGCGUGAGUGAUGAAGGCCUUAGGGUUGUAAAGCUCUUUUACCAGGGAUGAUAAUGACAGUACCUGGAGAAUAAGCUCCGGCUAACUCCGUGCCAGCAGCCGCGGUAAUACGGAGGGAGCUAGCGUUGUUCGGAAUUACUGGGCGUAAAGCGUACGUAGGCGGUUAUUCAAGUCAGAGGUGAAAGCCCGGGGCUCAACCCCGGAACGGCCUUUGAAACUAGAUAGCUAGAGUCUUGGAGAGGUUAGUGGAAUUCCGAGUGUAGAGGUGAAAUUCGUAGA